ensembl:lncRNA
AGUGUUUACAGCGCUGGGCGGCAGGCGCAGAUGUUGUAGCAGCCACGCUGCGCCCGGGACAGCGCGAAGCCAGUUCCUGACUUUGCAUGGACAAACGAGUGCAGGACCUCAAAGCUGGCCCGAUUUACAAAGCAGUAGGCUGGCGCUGGCGUUUGCAGUCAGGACUGUAGAUUCUCAAGGCUCCCUAACCUUUUUCUUCAGAGGUUUUGUUUGUUUGGUUGUUUUUUUGUUUGGGAACGUUUUUUACCUCUGAUCUUUUCUCUUUGUUCACGCUAAUUAUGAGCCAUUAACUUAAACCAAAAAAAAAGCAACAAACCCAAACCAAACAACGCGCCACCCUCCCGGCGCGGGGGCGGCGGGCAGCGAGCAGCAGUCUCUCCCCUCAGCGGCCAUCGCUUCCCUGCCGCGGCCCCGGGCGCUCGGCGGGCCCGGGCCCUCCCCGCCUGCCGGGGCGCGGAUGGGGCUCCCCCAUCUCCUCCCGCCGCUGCCACAGCCACCCCCCGCCUCCGAGCGCGGCUCUCCCGCCCCGCCCCGCCGGCGGCAGGGCAGGGGCGGGGGCGCGGAGCGGCGGCUCCGCCCCGGGGCGGAGGGACGCGUUCGCCGCCUCCCGCCUGCCGCCGUCGCGGGGACUCGGUGCCGGGCGGCUGCUGGCGGCGUCUCCCGUCCCGUCCCGUCCGGUCCCGGGGAUGUCCGGCGGGGGCAGCCGGCGGCGGGCCGGCCCCUCCUGGCACAGCACUUUCUCUCGCUUCUUCUCCAGGAGCCCAUCCGGCGAGGGGGCGGCGAACAGAUAAUUUAAAAGAGGAGAAAACUGUAGCAUGUGAAGUUUGCAGAUGAUUAGAGCGAAAAGUGUGGAAAUCACCAUGUAGAUGACAUUGGAAGCAAACUAAGUUGUCAUGGUUGACAGCCAGUUAAACAUGAGCUGCCAAAGUGGUGGCUCAGAGAAGAAAACAUGAUUGUCGGGUGUAUAAACAACAAAACACGUGUAUUCUGUGGAUUCUUUGGUUACUGCAGUACCGAAUCUCGUUUUGGUGUCCAUGAUUUAUCAUGAAAAAGAUGCUGGCAAACUGAAAAGGGCUCUGGAAAGAGCUCCAGAACAAUUUGAUGUCUGGAAAACCUCCCUCACAGAAUAAAGUGAAGUAGCUCAGUGGCAUUUAGUCUUGAAAUGACAGCGUUAAAGUUUGAGGAAUGAUUCUGCCUCAAGGAAUAUAACUGGAAGGGAAAUCAGAUUUACGUGCUUUAUGUUAUAGUAGACUUGGGCCUUCAAGAGGUUAUUUGAAGCUGAGACCUUUAUAAUCUGUCCCACAGAGAUGUAGAUUUAUUGAGAGAUGAAACUUGAAUAGUCAAGCCUAAUAAGUAGUGAAUUUAGUAGUAGUUUGCAUGGAAAGGUCUUGCUUACAAAUGUGGUCGUUUUUCCAUAGUUUGUUGUUUUUCAACCAAAGCUCAUAGCUUCUUGUGUGUUACAGGCUUGACACAGGUCUCCUGUGGUGAAAUUUCAUCAUCUAGAUUAUGCUGGAGGCCAGCUGCAGUAAUCAUAAGGGUCUAUAUGGCAAGCAGGGUAACUGGUAUAUAAAUAAAAAAUAUUAACUAAAAAGUCUGAUUUUUUUGCAUUCAACUUUUUAUUUACCACUUGGAAACUGGAACAAAGAAGAAACCAAUACUAAGCAACCUAUGGGUCUUUGCAGUUUUACAAUAAAAAAUUCAUUACUACUGCUAGUUUGUGGAUAUGGUGUGAGAAUUCCUGUAAUGUGCUGAAACUUCACUGAGGUCUUGCACAUCUAUAUUUGAUGGUAUUAUUAGACUUGUGGAUUUCCACUCAUUUACAUUCUUCAGGGAGGCUCUUGCACAAAUGGAUUUUAAAGUACUAGGUGAUGAAAUCCUUGUUUCAACGUUUCUCCAUUGAAAUAUCCGUCUGGAAGGUCAGCACUGAACGUGUAACUGUUGGCACAAAGAAAAACUGGAAAGAAGUCAUCAGAAGCACGUGAGGUGUAUUUCCCAGAGAAGGAUGUUAGGUUUGUUCAGAGUGAAAGGAAAGGUGGGGGUCAGGAGCUGGCAUUACACCCCAGAAUACUACAAUAAAGAAAUAAAGAAAGUAAAUGUAAAAAGCAUCUUUGAGGUUGGGCAUUGCCUUUUCUCUUACCAUUAUGAGUCAUCACAUUAAAUGGUUCCUGAGUUAAUCUGAGGAGAAGACCAGUUAAAAACAAACUAUGCCAGCCUUAUGUGGUAACAGAGAGGGUUUGGCUACUCAGGGAGUCAUCUGUCCCUAAGAGAGAGAAGAUGGCAAAAUGCUGGAGCACUCACCUGUCUGCUUACACUUGGACUGCAUAAAAAAUAAAUGCUGGAGCUGCUGCAUUGGAAGAGAUUUGAUUCAAAGCCCUGGGAGAAGUAGGAAGGGUCAACAUCCACGAGUGCUGUGGUAGUGCUGAACUGAAGUUCAGCUUUAGUCAGCUGUCCCCGUUUCCUUAAGGGAGUGCCCAUUAAUUUCCCCCUUCCCAAACAGCAACAGGCAGUCCCUGCCUUCUCCUCAUAAAAGGAACCUAAAAUGUCACAGAAAUUACUUUCAGUUUGAAGAACUCGGCGUGUGGUCAGUCUCAUCCAAACUCGUGUGUUUGUGCUUUAUUACUUGUAUGCUUCCUGUAGGUUUGUUUUUUUUUUAUCUGUCACAACACAUUCACAAUCUGCUGCGUGCAUAACAUGGGUGGGGUGGAUUAAUAAAGGAAGAAGGGGAAGGGCUUUUAAUUUGCAAGUUCUGAGGGAUUGUUAUGAAGGACGAGGAUGGAGGAAGCAGACUUCUCACACCAUACAGAGAUGCUGUGAGGGCCUUUUGAAGAUGUGAUUGUUUGUAAUUGCCUUG